rnacentral:rRNA from 1 species
AUUGAACGCUGGCGGCAGGCUUAACACAUGCAAGUCGAACGGUAACAGGAAGAAAGCUUGCUUUCUUUGCUGACGAGUGGCGGACGGGUGAGUAAUGCUUGGGAAUCUGCCUUAUGGAGGGGGAUAACUACGGGAAACUGUAGCUAAUACCGCGUAAUAUCUUUGGAUUAAAGUAUGGGAUCUUCGGACCAUAUGCCAUAAGAUGAGCCCAAGUGAGAUUAGGUAGUUGGUGAGGUAAAGGCUCACCAAGCUGACGAUCUCUAGCUGGUUUGAGAGGAUGACCAGCCACACUGGAACUGAGACACGGUCCAGACUCCUACGGGAGGCAGCAGUGGGGAAUAUUGCACAAUGGGCGCAAGCCUGAUGCAGCCAUGCCGCGUGAAUGAAGAAGGCUUUCGGGUUGUAAAGUUCUUUCAGCGAUGAGGAAGGUGCUAUAUCUAAUAGGUGUAGCAAUUGACGUUAGUCGCAGAAGAAGCACCGGCUAACUCCGUGCCAGCAGCCGCGGUAAUACGGAGGGUGCGAGCGUUAAUCGGAAUAACUGGGCGUAAAGGGCACGCAGGCGGUUGUCUAAGUCAGAUGUGAAAGCCCCGAGCUUAACUUGGGAAUUGCAUUUGAGACUGGGCGACUAGAGUCCUCUAGGGAGGGGUAGAAUUCCACGUGUAGCGGUGAAAUGCGUAGAGAUGUGGAGGAAUACCGAAGGCGAAGGCAGCCCCUUGGAGAGAGACUGACGCUGAGGUGCGAAAGCGUGGGUAGCAAACAGG